rnacentral:rRNA from 1 species
UCGGGAAUCUUGCACAAUGGGCGAAAGCCUGAUGCAGCAACGCCGUGUGAGCGAGGAAGGCCUUCGGGUCGUAAAGCUCUGUUGUUGGGGACGAAGGGUGAAGGGUUAAUAGCCCCUAGCCUGACGGUACCCUUCGAGAAAGCCCCGGCUAACUACGUGCCAGCAGCCGCGGUAAUACGUAGGGGGCGAGCGUUGUCCGGAAUUAUUGGGCGUAAAGAGCGUGUAGGCGGCCCGGUAAGUCUGCCGUGAAAACCUGGGGCACAACCCCGGGCGUGCGGUGGAUACGGCUGGGCUAGAGGAUGGUAGAGGCGAGUGGAAUUCCCGGUGUAGCGGUGAAAUGCGCAGAGAUCGGGAGGAACACCAGUAGCGAAGGCGGCUCGCGGGGCCAUUCCGGACGCUGAGACGCGAAAGCAUGGGGAGAGAACAGGAUUAGAUACCCCCGUAGUCC